rnacentral:lncRNA from 1 species
ACAUUUUUGGAUUACUAUUCUUUUUUUAUCAAGCAUUCUGUAAAUUAUUUUCUAAUUUUUUUAGUAUACAUAAUCUAUUAGUUUAAAACUGCUGAUUAGAACUAAAUAAGUAUUUUGUAACAUUAUUAUAAUAUUUUAUUACAAUACAAUUUACUUUUUUUCUAAUGGUGUAUCGUAAUGCAAAGUUUGUAUCAAUUUAAUAUCUGCCACUAAGAUAUCCACAGUCUAAGAAUAGAAAGAAAGUAAAAUUUAUUACACGCAUUCUCAUAUUAAAGAGAUAAGUGGCUUACAUUAGUACAAACACGUCUUUUUCUUUGACUUUCCACAGUCCACAAUUCAUGGCUAUUUAAUAUAGCAGCUUGAGGAUACAUGUAAUUUUAAUAUAAACAUAAUUUCUGUAUAUACUCACUGAAGAAGACCAUACAAUUGAUCGUGAAUCAAAUUAAUCGAUGGAAUUGUAAUUAUUAUAUUAAAAUGCACGACAGUGGAAGCUUGAAUAAUACCACUUGCAGGUAUUAUAUAAAAGUAAUUCGUUAAAUUUUCAUUUUCAACUUCAUUUUCUUCGUUAACUUGCACAUGACGUUUAUCCCAAUGAAAGAACACAUACAUUUGGCUGCGCAUAGAAUAUAAAAUGUAAGAAUUCAUUAAUUCCAAUACAAUAAUGAUUCAGGAGCACUGGAAA